rnacentral:rRNA from 1 species
AUGGAAAGGGAGAAGAUGGAGAGGGGCAAGUCUGAGCUGAGGAUGGCCAUCGAGGACCUCUCCUUGCCCAGCUCAGGAGAUGGUGAAUAUCAGGAGCAGCAGGGGAAAAUUAGGAGGUCAUCCACCAUGGAUCUCCUUUGUGUCUCCAACCAGCUUCUCCGUGUCCUUGAUGCGAUUGGGCCAACGCUUCUAGUCCUCAGGCAAGACAUUCAGCAAAAUGUUCAGAGAUUACAGGAUCUCCAUGCAAGAGACUCUUCACAAUACGUGAGCUUGACGGCGAUCGUGAUGGAAGAAGUGGAGGAAGGGAACUCAAAGAAGACCAACAGUUGUAGCAGGGCAAUUAUCUGGCUGGCUAGGCCGCAACGCGUCCAGUCCAGAGAACCCGCAUUGGAAGAGAAGAUGAGCUGCGAUGCGAUUGGGCCGACGCUGCUAGUCCUCACGCAAGACAUUGAGCAAAAUGUUCAGAGAUUACAAGAUCUCCAUGCAAGAGACUCUUUGAAAUAUGCGAGCUUGACGGCGAUGGUAACAAAGGAAGUGGUGGAAGGGACCUCAAAGAAGACCAAUAGUUGCGCCAGGGCAAUUAUCUGGCUGGCCAGGUCGGUGAAUUUCUCGAUACAUUUGCUGGAGGGAUUAGUGAAGAACUCAGAGUCAAGCCUGCAAGAGAUGGUGGAAGAAGCAUACAAGAGCACCCUCAAGCCGUUCCAUGGAUGGAUCUCAUCAGCUGCUUACAAGGUAGCAUUGUGUCUUAUUCCGGAAAGAGACAUCUUCAUUCAGUUGCUGAUGGGGAGCUGCCAGGAUCCUGGGUAUUUUGGUGAAGAUGUCAUGGUCUUGGUCUCCAUUGCACAACCUCUGCUAGAGGAGAUAAAUGCCAUUUUGGUAAAGCACCAGCUGGAAAGGCUAAAAUCCACCUGA